AAAAAUUUUUUUCUACUGGUCUUUAUUUUGCAUCAUUAGAGAUUGGUUACUUUGCAUUACAGUGCAAAUAUCCUUACGAUGGGGCAACAGAAUAGGUCAUUAAUACUAUAUAGUAAACUAAUUUAUCAUGAUUAGGAAACCAAUAACCCCAAAAGGCACAAGUAAUGCAUGUUUGAAUGAGGAGAGGGGUAAAGAAUUAGAUCCAGAUCCCAGAAAACUACCUGGAGAAACGAGGUAGUGCUAUCCGAAAGGGGAGAGAAAGCCUUAUAUAUUGGGGGAACACAGAACCAAAGUGAGAAUAAAGAGGGAAGGAGGUGGAAGAGCAUGAAUGACUAACUUUGCCUACUUGACAAUUUUAGCUUAGUCCUGAGAGGUUGCAAAAGAUGAGCGUUUCACUACAUACAAGCAGAACUACAAGAAUGGAGGACUCCUUGGGAGAAUCUGCCCUCAAGCAGCACUUCUGUGUAAUUAUUAAAAUGUCAAUUUAAAAUAAUACAUCAAUUUAUUGUUUUCUUAGAUACUUACUUCACUGAUGAAUCACGAGAAGGGAAAAUUUGGUGAGCUCCAGGUGGAUCUGCAGAAAGAAAAAGAAAAUUACUACUUCUUGGUAUCCUUCACAAGUACUUGUAAAAAGAAUAUCCUGUGGAGAGUGUCUGGGGACAUCUUUUGUUUUAUCAGCACCAUCUGGAGCUUGAGAUGAGGUACUUUUAAUUCCUGGGGGAAAGAAGAGGUGCCUUUAAAUAUGAAAAGAUGAUGUAAUUCUCUUUGCUGGGUUGCCAUAAUGUCUAGAAUUACCAUAGUCAAGCAUGUAUUUAUUUAUGCAAGUUAAGGCAGUAUCUCCAAAUAUGAGACACCUUUUUUGAAGUCCUCUGUCUACAAACUUCCAGUGGCUCACCACUGCCCUCAGGGACAAGCCUGAACUCCCUAACCUCUGGUUCUAAGUUACUUUGUCAGCUUAAUUUCCCACCACUCCCCUGCCCUUGAAUGAACUGUUCUGCACUUUGUAUAGCAGGCAGGGGGGAACCACCAAGGAUGUUUAAGUAGAGGAAUUAUACAGCCAUAGUUGUUUAGGGGAAGAUUACAUUCACAGCAAAAUGUAGGAAAGAUUAACAGGAUGAAGAAGAGAUUGGAGAUAAAUUAUUGCAGUAGUUAAAGAUAGGGGUGGCAUGAAUGGAAAGGAAGGGAAGGUUAUGAGAGAGUUUAAGGAGGUAGAUUGGACAGAAUGUAGCAACUUUUGGAUGUAGAAUAUGAUCAAUAGGAAAGAUUCAAAGGCGACUCAGGUUUUGUGCCUGCAUAAAAUUAGGAGGGGCAGAGAACAGGUUUUGGGGUGACAAGAAGAUGAUGAAUUUGUUUUGUGCAUAUUAGAUGAGGUGCUUGUUGGCCACCCAGGUGGAGAUGUGCCAGUGCUCUCAGUGUGUGUGUACAAUAUGCAUGGCAAUCUUUUACAGAGAGUAACAGAGACUAAACUAACCUCUAGCCCAGCCCUGGGGAAAUGGGAA
rnacentral:lncRNA from 1 species